ensembl:misc_RNA Metazoa_SRP Metazoan signal recognition particle RNA
GCCGGGCGUGGUGGCGGGUGCCUGUAGUCCCAGCUACUCAGGAGGCUGAGGCAGGAGAAUUGCUUGAACCCAGGAGGUGAAGACUGUAGUGAGCCGAGAUCGUGCCACUGCACUGCAGCCUGGGUGACAGAGCGAGACUCUGUCUCAA